UACAGAGGGGGCAAGCGUUAUUCGGAAUUAUUGGGCGUAAAGGGCGCGUAGGCGGCUUGGCAAGUGGAUGGUGAAAUCCCACGGCUCAACCGUGGAAGUGCACUCGAAACUGCGCAGCUAGAGUCCUGGAGAGGAAGGUGGAAUGCUUGGUGUAGAGGUGAAAUUCGUAGAUAUCAAGCGGAACACCGGUGGCGAAGGCGGCCUUCUGGACAGUGACUGACGCUGAGAUGCGAAAGCGUGGGGAGCAAACAGG
rnacentral:rRNA from 1 species